UUGCGAUAUCAAACGUAAUUUUAAAACAAUAAAGUUGAGGUAACGCAGACAGAUGCGUCAACGGAAGCAUAUGCAAUCGUUGAACAACCUCAGCUCACGAGAGAUGUCAGCAGCUGAGAAACAGUGGAGAUACAGGACUCGGCAAGAUGCUGAUCCCUCAAAAAGAGCAGAAUAUUUACAAAAGCAAAGAGAUGCAUGGGACAGGCUUAUUAGGCAAGGAAAGGUGAACCAAUCUUAGAGUUGAGUGAGAUGGAGAAACAAUGCAAAAGAGACAACUGGAGAAAAGCACAACAGAGAAGAAGACUAGCGAGUGCUAGAAAACAUAACUACUCCAGCAGACAGCCCUGAAUUGGUCCAGCCACCUGAAGAAUCAAGAUGAACGUGGUACCGUCAGGCAUUUGGAAAUUGCUCCGAAGGAUGAACCAGACUUGUGGAGGUCCACAAUGUUUUUUUCUGAGGUCUUGGCUGAUUUCUUUUGAUUUUCCCAUGAUGUCAUCAAAGAGGCACCGAGUUUGAAGGUAGGCCUUAAAAUACAUCCAUAGGUACACCUCCAAUUCAGUACACCUCCUAUCAGAAACUAAUUGUCUAAAGGCUUGACAUAAUUUUCCCACUGGAAUUGUGAUAUAGUCAAUUAAAAGUGAAACAAUCUGUCUGUAAACAAUUGUUGGAAAAAAUUACUUGUGCCAUGCACAAAAUAGAUGUCCUAAACGACUUGCCAAAACUAAAAGAAUCUGUGGAGUGGUUAAAAAAUUAGGUUUAAUGACUUCAACCUAAGUGUACAGUGCAUCCGGAAAGUAUUCACAGCACUUCACUUUUUCCACAUUUUGUUAUGUUACAGCCUUAUUCCAAAAUGGAUUAAAUUCAUUUAUUUUCCUCAAAAUUCUACAAACAAUACCCCAUAAUGACAACGUGAAAGAAGUUUGUUUGAAAUCUUUGCAAAU